rnacentral:rRNA from 1 species
AUUGAACGCUGGCGGCAUGCCUUACACAUGCAAGUCGAACGGCAGCACGGGGGCAACCCUGGUGGCGAGUGGCGAACGGGUGAGUAAUGCAUCGGAACGUGCCCAGUAGUGGGGGAUAACUAGUCGAAAGAUUAGCUAAUACCGCAUACGACCUAUGGGUGAAAGCGGGGGAUUUUCGGGCAACCGAGAACCUCGCGCUAUCGGAGCGGCCGAUGUCUGAUUAGCAGUUGGCGGGGUAAAAGCCCACCAAGGCUUCGAUCAGUAGCUGGUCUGAGAGGACGACCAGCCACACUGGGACUGAGACACGGCCCAGACUCCUACGGGAGGCAGCAGUGGGGAAUUUUGGACAAUGGGCGCAAGCCUGAUCCAGCCAUGCCGCGUGCGGGAAGAAGGCCUUUGGGUUGUAACGCUUUGGCAGAACGAACGGCGCGAGCAAAUAUCUCGCGUUAAUGACGGUACCUGCAGAAUAAGCACCGGCUAACUACGUGCCAGC